rnacentral:lncRNA from 1 species
CCGCCUUGUGCGCCUGUGCGAAGUACCGGCGGAUUUGCUUGUGGAGUCCAGGGAGGUGAGAGGCGCUGGCGUCGUCUGAGGGUUGCUGCUCUUUGGCCGUCGCUGUCCCGCCAUGACUUGGUCUUCCCCGCGUUCUUGAAGCUGUUCCUGCGAGCGUUGUCCUGGACGGCGAUGAGGAGCAGGGAGGCAAGCCGUCACCUGAGGCUCUGACGAGAGGUACUGACGCGGUCACCGCGAUGGCCUUUUAGUCUCUUGCCUGGUCCUCGCGACGGCGGAGCAGGUAGGUGCGGGUGCUGUCCCCGCUUUAUAGACGUCAGACCGAGGCCGGGAGAGGGGAGGCCGUGUCGGGGUCACAUCCACGGCCCAGAGGUCAGCGCUGCCGGGCAGCAGCACGGGCUGCCGCGCGGAGGACGGGUGGAGCGGGGCGUCAUUACAGACCCAAAAUGGCGGCCUCCAACUUUCUGGAGCUGUUAUGAGGAGACGCCUCAGAAAGCACUGAAAGUCCGAAUUUCAAAUCAAAAGAGAGCUUUAUUUACCUGGCCAGGGACUGUCACCCACCGUGGAGAUUUAAGCUCUGUGGGAGGACAGCAGCUUCCUGGUUCAUCCAAAAAGAAUAUAAGCACAAAAUCCACAACUCAGUGACUCGCUUAUCAUCAUGUAAGCUAGCCGGUCAUAGAAAUUAAAACAUUAGUAAGUGGGACCUGUGGGCUCCAGGCAGGACUGGAAUUUUCCAGUCAGCAAGCCAGCGAUAAACAGAAGCAAAACAAGCAUUAGCUUUGCAGUUCAGUUGAUCACAGUCCUGGGUUCAAGCAGGUGCUGGACAGUUGCUUCCUGAAUUUGGGCGGGUGUUGUGGGGGCUGAGAAUCUACUUCAAAGUCAUAUAGACCCACAAGUGUACUCAGACCCAGGAUGUAGCUCACCAUGACUACCACUGCAUUCUGAUUAGGGUACAAUUUGUGGGAUACAAAGUACAGAAAAACAAUUUUUAUAAGAAAACAGCUUUUGUAACAGUUUUUUAUAGAAAGCAGCAAAAUGGAGUCUUAGGCCUGUCUAUGACAGUUCUUGCUUCAUAAUUGUCUUAUCUCACUUAUCAAACUCUUAUAUCUAUAAACUAUAUUUUUAACUAAUAUGUAAUCUAAUUUACACUCUUAUUGAUUGUAUUUAUCAGUUCACACCACAACAGAGCCAGGUGCACUUGCAUGGUUCCCACUUUGCUCGGAGAGCAGAGCUCCUGCCCUGCAAGACAAAGGUAGGAAAUAAUGCCCUUCGUUGUUGCCCUUCUUGAGCUGGGGGUGGCAGAAUUUCUCGAGAAGCAGAAUGGCUCUGCAUAUGUGUGUUGUUCCGGAGUGUGGAACCAGUGGGGAGUGCCAUUGGUGCAUGAAGUCCACUUGCAAAGGGUGUGGGCAAGGAAUAAUAUCAUGGUUCUGAAAACGUAGAUUCUGAAGGGGAAAGGGAUUUCAAAACAAGAAAUGUGGUCUGCUUUCCAGGAACUUUGUAUUUUUUAGGGCCAGGUUUUUCAGAGAUCAUUUCCCUAUUAUUUUGUGUAGACAUGGAGACCUGAAUAGCACAAAACUGAUGAAAAACACAAGCACUCAACUACUGUGCUAAAUUCCAGUCCCCGGGUUCCGCUUCUUAUCUGGGCUUGAAUCUUUAAUAGGGCAGUCUUGCCUUCUGCUAAAAUACCUGUAGAGAUGGGUCAGACUUCUUAUUACUUUGUGUUGUUCAGUGCUGUCUUUCAUUGUUCUGCAGUGAGUUACAAAAUCAUAGUUAUAAGACCACAGGACUCCUCCUUUUGAGUUUUAUCGGUGCUCACUGUGAACAUGUUUGCAUCUGUGUUCAGUGCCUUCCCUCUUGGUUCAGAUUCAAUGUGUGUUGAUCUUGUUAAUCCACAGAUGUAUAAAUUUUCUGUUUAAUAAUCUAGCAAACAUGUAGUUUAUUGGUUUACCAGUUGCAUAUUUCUGAGUCAUAUCAAGCAGUUUUCCAGCAGCUGACAUUAUAUUUGCAUCCUUGUGGCUAGAAAUGGAUUUAAAUAGACUAUAAUAGACAUAAAAUAAGAACAAUGAUAUAAACUUAGAAAGUGAAAAAGAAAGAAAGCCAUACUCUUUCAUUGACUUAGUGUAUCUUUUUUUUUUCAAGGAAGCAGUUUAUUAAAGAUAAUGUUCAUCUGGUUUGUAGUGCAUGCCUGUGAUGCCAACCAACUACUUGUCUGGGGUUGGAGGAUAUCUAGUGCAGAGAACCAUCUUCCCAUGCAGAUAUCAGCAAUGGCUAAGCCUCCAGCAGAUCCCCACAUUCCCAGUUCCCUUUGGGGGCCCAGUGGUAACAGGGAUCUAAGGCACAUGGGAAUCCAGAGAAUAUCUAAAGUGUGUAAAAACCCUGAAUUCCCUUUGUAGCUGAAGGAUUUGGAUUGGAAAUUUCCCAAAUUGGAACAUUAAUGUCAAAACCAUUGGCCACUAGAAAUUAGGCAUAUGGAAAAUAGGCUAGAGUUAGGGGUCACAGCUGGGUACCUAGUAAUAAUGUCUCUAGGGAAAACCAGAUUCCCUUUUCACCCCAGCCUGUCCUCUUUGGAUAGUGGGGCAGAGGCAGGAUUUUCUCUGUACCCCAGUCCAGACCCUCUUAUUCAAUAUGCUAGUCUUACUUUGAUCUGAAGAAUUAGCUUAGGCCACGCUGGGCCUGGUGGCUCAAGCCUGUAAUCUCCAGCGACUCAGGAGAGACCAAGGGAGGACUGUAACAAUUCUAGGCCAGCCUGGACAACUUAGCCAGACCAUCUCUAAAGGGCUGGGGAUGUAGCUCAGUGGUUAAUACCCCUGGGUUCAAUCCCAGGAACCAAAAAAUGAAUUAGCUUACCUUGGGAGCCUUAUUUUUGUAGGGUGGACAGAAAUGCAGAAGCCGCAAAUCUCCAGAAGGCUCCCAGGAUGCCUCCUCAAAUAGCAGACUUAGUGUGUCUUUAUAUUAAUGAAAAUUAUAUUCCAUAGUCAGGGUUACCUUGUUUUGGAAAAUAUUACCUCCCUUUACUUCUUUGUAUCAUGUGUUACAAAGCAGCUCUUUCGAUUCCAUUUCUGACCCUCCCUAUUUCUGGACAGGUGGAUUGGCAUUUUGACUUCGCAUGUCAUGCAGCAAAGGAGAUUUGAUGUGCUUGUGGAAUCCUGCUCAGCAGUUACUUGAUCUUCCUCAGGGUCCUCCUGGCAGUUGUUAUAGCUAUUGUGUCAACCAUCAUGUGUGUCACCAUGAAAGGUAAAGAAUAGCCUUUUCUAUUUGACACCUAUUUCAUUUUAUUUUCAUAGUUUAUUGAGAUGUAAUUUGCAUACCCUGUGAUCCACCCAUUUAAAGUAUACAACUCAGGGUUUUUAGUACAUGUCAGAGUUGUGUAACUAUCACCACAAUCAACUUCCAAACAUUUCAUCACCUCCAAAAGAAAUCCUGUCAGUACCAAUUAGCAUUUCCCCCCACAGUUCACCAAGCCCUAGGCACCUACUCAUCUGCAUUCUGUCUCCAUAGAUUUGCCUAUUCUGGACAUCAGAGAAGUGGAAUUAUCCACUGUGUUAUCUUUUAGUCUGGCUUCUUAGCAUAAUGUUUUCAUGGUUCACCCAUGUUAUUCAUGCUUAGACCUUUAUUCCUUCUUAUGGCUGAUUAAAUUGACAUUGAAGGGACCCCAUUUUACUCAUCAGUUGGUGAAUAUUUGAGUAUUUCUCUUUUUAAAUAUUACCAAUAAUGCUGCUAUGAAUAUUUGCACACAAGUGUUUGUACAGAAGUGUGUUUUUAUUUCUCUCAGGUAUAUAUCUGGGAGUGGACUUGCUGGGUCAUGUGGUAACUCUACAUUUAACCUUUUUUCAAAAAGUAUUUUUUAGUUGUCAGUG